rnacentral:lncRNA from 1 species
CUGGAGCCUUGUAAACGCACAGUUUCUCCUUUGCAAAGAUACACCCAAAUAAUAAAAAUAACUUGCAUCAAUGUUAAAUAAUUUGGAGUAUCAAUUAUCCUAUAACCUAACUAGUGAAUUGUCACUGUCACACAGGCUGGAAAGUUUCUUGAAGUCCUGAGCCUCACAACAGGCAACCUGCAGAAAGGAGCCCUGCAAUGAGGAGCUUGCAGAAAUCAUCUGGGUUCUAGCUGUAUCAUAUCUUGGGCUCAGUUGGCCCAGCACCAUGAAAACCUAUUUGAAAGACAUGGAAUAAAACAUCAUUAAAUGUUCCUAGAUGUUUUCCAGGUGGCUGCAUGGACAUUGUUGGAGGACAUGAAGUGCAUCCUCACUCCUGAGCUUAUAUGGCUGCCAUCCAGCACAAGAAUUUAGGUGUUAUUUUGUGGAGGAACUAUUGUGAAAAAAUUGGUUUUGAGAGCAGCACAUUGUGAAAUAGAUGGAUUGGAAGACAGAGUUGUUCCUGGAACUUAUUGGGCAUCCAUUGUUGAAAAAAGACAGCAGAUAUUUGGGAUUAUGGAAACCUUUCCUCAUUGUCAAUGUGAUUGUCCUCCCUUUAUAAUGACAAAAUGCUCAUCAAGGGAGAUUCAGGUGGGCCAUAAUCUGUGCUGGUCAGCACCAGGGGUUUGUUUCUUUUGGAGAAGAACAUGAAAAUUCAAGCAUACCUGGAGUUUCUACACAGCUGACUGAAGAAUUUAUUGACAGGAUAAAAAGAACCAUUUCCCAUGACAGAUCCAUGAAAGAGUCAAGAGCAUUUUAACGAAUACUGUGCUGUGCAAUAGAGCUGGGUCCUGCUGCUUUGACACACCUCCUUUGAAAUGUUCCUCCCAGCUUUACAGCUUUGCUGACACCACCACAGCUUUAUGAGAACCGUUCAAAAUAUCCACAUUUAUACAGAUAACACCUUUACUAAUCUUUAGCAGGAGACUGCCACUUAGAAAACAUAAUUUGUAUUGGAUUCCACUCUACUUUUUACUGGGAUGGGAAAGUAUUCAUUGCACCUGGGAUAAAGCAAUAUUUGUUAAUGUGUAUGUACACAAAAGUUCAGUUUCAGACUGAGUGUGAAUGAGAUGUCUGCUGAAUGAGAAAAAAUUGAAAAAAAAAAAAAGGAAAAUCUUAAAAUGUUAAAAUAUUUAUCUGUAAUUUUAUUAAACCCCAAAUACUUCAUUUUACCAUUAUUGAAUAUUUAUUUAUUUCUUUAUUUUUCUAAAUUCAAUUUCAAAGAGUUAAAAUAUUAAAUAGAGAGAAACAGUUUUUCCAAUAAUCUUCAUAAUAAAAAUACAAAUAUAGAGAU